GAUGAACGCUGGCGGCGUGCUUAACACAUGCAAGUCGAACGGGAAACCUUUUAUUGAAGCUUCGGCAGAUUUAGCUGGUUUCUAGUGGCGGACGGGUGAGUAACGCGUGGGUAACCUGCCCUAUACAGGGGGAUAACAACUAGAAAUGGUUGCUAAUACCGCAUAAGCGCACAGGGCCGCAUGGUCCGGUGUGAAAAACUCCGGUGGUAUAGGAUGGACCCGCGUUGGAUUAGCCAGUUGGCAGGGUAACGGCCUACCAAAGCGACGAUCCAUAGCCGGCCUGAGAGGGUGAACGGCCACAUUGGGACUGAGACACGGCCCAGACUCCUACGGGAGGCAGCAGUGGGGAAUAUUGCACAAUGGGGGAAACCCUGAUGCAGCGACGCCGCGUGAAGGAAGAAGUAUCUCGGUAUGUAAACUUCUAUCAGCAGGGAAGAUAGUGACGGUACCUGACUAAGAAGCCCCGGCUAACUACGUG
rnacentral:rRNA from 1 species